CCUACGGGAGGCAGCAGUGAGGAAUAUUGGUCAAUGGUCGGGAGACUGAACCAGCCAAGCCGCGGGAGGGAUGAAGGUACAGAGUAUCGUCAACCUCUUUUGUCAGGGAACAAAGGCGGGGCCGUGUCCCCGGAUGAGUGUACCUGAAGAAAAAGCAUCGGCUACCUCCGUGCCAGACGCCGCUGUAAUACGGAGGAUGCGAGCGUUAUCCGGAUUUACUGGGUUUAAAGGGUGCGCAGGCGGUCUGUUAAGUCAGCGGUACAAGCCCGGGGCUCAACCCCGGCCCGCCGUUGAAACUGGCAGUGGCGAGUUGGAGAGAAGUAUGCGGAAUGGGCGGUGUAGCGGUGAAAUGCAUAGCUAUCGCGCAGAACUCCGAUUGCGAAGGCAGCAUGCCGGCUCCACACUGACGCUGAGGCACGAAAGCGUGGGUAUCGAACAGGAUUAGAUACCCUGGUAGUC
rnacentral:rRNA from 1 species